ACCAAGCUGGCUCAGUCAGUAGAGUAUGUGACUCUUAAUCUCAGGGUCAUGAGUUCAAGCCUCACACUGGGCA
rnacentral:tRNA from 1 species